rnacentral:misc_RNA from 1 species
GAUGAAGAACGUAGCGAAAUGCGAUACUUGGUGUGAAUUGCAGAAUCCCGCGAAUCAUCGAAUUUUUGAACGCAAGUUGCGCCCGAAGCCAUUCGGCCGAGGGCACGUCUGCCUGGGUGUCACGCAUCGUUGCCCCCCCAAACUCCGGUUCGGGCGGGGCGGAAGUUGGCCUCCCGUGCGUGCCUGCGCGCGCGGUUAGCCCAAAAGCGAGUCCUCGGCGAUGAGCGCCACGACAAUCGGUGGUUUUUUUCCCCUCGUUCCUCGUCGUGCGUGCCCCGUCGCCCGAACGCGCUCUUGCAACCCUUACGCGUCGCCUCGGUGGCGCUCCCAACGCGACCCCAGGUCAGGCGGGACUACCCGCUGAGUUUAAGCAUAUCAAUAAGCGGAGGA